UUAAGGAAGUUUGAAGAUUUCAAAGGAGAAGUGCCUUAAACCAGCUGCCACUUUGCUCAUUUCAACCUUUGACACUAUGAGGAGUUUCAAGGACUUGUCUUCUGAAAGUGUUUACCUUGUGAGGUGGCUUCCUGGGAACGGAUCAAAAGCAAGUAUUGCCUUACUCCUUGUAUGCCCUAAAAUACCAUCAUCUGUUCUGAUCCAUGGAAAAACGAUGAAAAUAAAUGCCUGGGGUAUAUGCCCAACUGAAGAGAGCAUUCUUGAAGAGCCAUACCGUGUUUUAGAACAGAAAACUGCUUUUCCCUAGUGAUAAAGUUGACUGACUACUUUGCAAAAUAGUUUUGCAAUCAUUUGAAAACCACUGGAAAAUUCACCCUUGUGAUUACUGUUUCAAGGAGACAGAAGAUCCAUCUGUGUGGAGAGCUGAGGGAA